rnacentral:misc_RNA from 1 species
AAACUGCGAUAAGUAGUGUGAAUUGCAUUUAGUGAUUCAUCGAAUCUUUGAACGCACCCUGCACUCACUGGUAUUCCGGUGAGUACGCCUGUUUCAGUAUCAUUGAAAACACACAAUCAAAACAUUUUCUUUGGUUUGAUUGGCUUUGGGUCUAUCAAAAAGUUUGGCUUGUUUCUUACAAGCCAAGCGGCCUGAAAUAUAUUGUCUGGCUAAUUGCAUCGUUGAUGAUCGCUAUUAGACUUUGGCUUUUUUAAAUGAACUGGAGGUUGAUUAACCAGUUUUAGCUUUAGUCAAAUGGUCAUUGUAAAAAAAAUCUCGAUCUUGGCUAGGUGUUUAUAGCCGAAAAUUUUUUUUUGGCUAUAACCGAAACCAAUAUAAUCACAUUUAGUUAUCGAUCUGAAAUCAGGUGGGACUACCCGCUGAACUUAAGC